ensembl:snoRNA
AUCUUUUUGUAGUUCGUAAGUGUGAUAACUGAGUGUUCACAAGCACACGUGAGACAUGCCUCCUCAGACAUUGCUGGCACAUUACCCAUUUGACG